UAUGGGUUGUAAACUGCUUUUAUUCGGGAAUAAACCUCUGCUCGUGAGCAGAGUUGAAUGUACCGAAAGAAUAAGGAUCGGCUAACUCCGUGCCAGCAGCCGCGGUAAUACGGAGGAUCCAAGCGUUAUCCGGAUUUAUUGGGUUUAAAGGGUGCGUAGGCGGCUUAUUAAGUCAGGGGUGAAAGACGGUGGCUCAACCAUCGCAGUGCCCUUGAUACUGAUGAGCUUGAAUACACUUGAGGUAGGCGGAAUGUGACAAGUAGCGGUGAAAUGCAUAGAUAUGUCACAGAACACCAAUUGCGAAGGCAGCUUACUAAGGUGCUAUUGACGCUGAGGCACGAAAGCGUGGGGAUCAAACAGGAUUAGAUACCCUGGUAGUCCACGCCCUAAACGAUGAAUACUCGAUGUUAGCGAUAUACCGUUAGCGUCUAAGCGAAAGCGUUAAGUAUUCCACCUGGGGAGUACGCUCGCAAGAGUG
rnacentral:rRNA from 1 species